GAAGGAUCAUUAAAGAGUAAGGGUGCUCAGCGCCCGACCUCCAACCCUCUGUCGUUAAAACUACCUUGUUGCUUUGGCGGGACCGCUCGGUCUCGAGCCGCCGGGGAUUCGUCCCAGGCGAGCGCCCGCCAGAGUUAAACCAAACUCUUGUUAAACAAACCGGUCGUCUGAGUAAAAUUUUUGAAUAAAUCAAAACUUUCAACAACGGAUCUCUUGGUUCUCGCAUCGAUGAAGAACGCAGCGAAAUGCGAUAAGUAAUGUGAAUUGCAGAAUUCAGUGAAUCAUCGAAUCUUUGAACGCACAUUGCGCCCCUUGGUAUUCCGAGGGGCAUGCCUGUUCGAGCGUCAUUACACCACUCAAGCACAGCUUGGUAUUGGGCGUCCGUCCCUUCGGGGGCGCGCCUCAAAGACCUCGGCGAGGCCUCACCGGCUUUAGGCGUAGUAGAAUUUAUUCGAACGUCUUUCAACGGAGGGGACUUCUGCCGACUGAAGCCUUUAAUUUUUCUAAGGUUGACCUCGGAUCAGGUAGGGAUACCCGCUGAACUUAA
rnacentral:rRNA from 1 species